rnacentral:rRNA from 1 species
GUGAUCUACCGCACGGGUUGGAGAUAGCCCAUGGAAACAUGGGGCAAUACCGAAUACGCUCAUUUGGCUGUGGCCGGAUGCAGGAAAGGCGCUUCGGCGCCGCCCUGCGAUGAGCCUGCGCCCCAUUAGCUAGUUGGUAGGGUAACGGCCUACCAAGGCGACGAUGGGUAGCCGGCCUGAGAGGGUGAUCGGCCACACUGGGACUGAGAUACUGCCCAGACUCCUACGGGAGGCAGCAGCUAAGAAUCUUCCGCAAUGGACGAAAGUCUGACGGAACGACGCCUCGUGGGUGAAGAAGGCCGGAAGGUUGUAAAGCCCUUUUCUCGUUGAGGAAUAAGCACAGGAGGGAAUGCCUGUGGGAUGACGGUAGGCGAGGAAUAAGUCCCGGCCAAUUACGUGCCAGCAGCCGCGGUAACACGUAUGGGACGAGCGUUGUUCGGAAUCAUUGGGCGUAAAGGGCGCGUAGGCGGCGAGGUAAGCCUGGUGUGAAAGACCGCAGCUUAACUGCGGAACCGCGCUAGGAACUGCUUUGCUUGAGUUCAGGAGGGGGAGCUGGAAUUCCACGUGUAGGGGUGAAAUCUGUAGAUAUCUGGAAGAACACCGGCGGCGAAGGCGAGCUCCUGGCCAUGAACUGACGCUGAGGCGCGAAAGCGUGGGGAGCAAACAGGAUUAGAUACCCUGGUAGUCCACGCUGUAAACGAUGUGCACUAGGUGUUGGUCCACGAAGGUUCAGUGCCGGAUUCAACGCGUUAAGUGCACCGCCUGGGGAGUAUGCUCGCAAGGGUGAAACUCAAAGGAAUUGACGGGGGCCCGCACAAGCGGUGGAGCAUGU